rnacentral:rRNA from 1 species
UACGUAGGGUGCGAGCGUUGUCCGGAAUUAUUGGGCGUAAAGGGCUCGUAGGCGGUUUGUCGCGUCUGCCGUGAAAGUCCGGGGCUCAACUCCGGAUCUGCGGUGGGUACGGGCAGACUAGAGUGAUGUAGGGGAGACUGGAAUUCCUGGUGUAGCGGUGAAAUGCGCAGAUAUCAGGAAGAACACCUAUGGCGAAGGCAGCUCUCUGGGACGGUACUGACGCUGAGACGCGAAAGCGUGGGGAGCGAACAGG